rnacentral:rRNA from 1 species
UGGGGAAUAUUGCGCAAUGGGCGAAAGCCUGACGCAGCGACGCCGCGUGAGGGUUGAAGGUUUUCGGAUCGUAAACCUCUGUCAGAAGGGAAGAAACCGCACUGUGCUAAUCAGCAGUGCCUUGACGGUACCUUCAAAGGAAGCACCGGCUAACUCCGUGCCAGCAGCCGCGGUAAUACGGAGGGUGCAAGCGUUAAUCGGAAUUACUGGGCGUAAAGCGCACGUAGGCUGCUUUGUAAGUCAGGGGUGAAAUCCCACGGCUCAACCGUGGAACUGCCUUUGAUACUGCUGAGCUUGAAUCCGGGAGAGGGUGGCGGAAUUCCAGGUGUAGGAGUGAAAUCCGUAGAUAUCUGGAGGAACAUCAGUGGCGAAGGCGGCCACCUGGACCGGUAUUGACGCUGAGGUGCGAAAGCGUGGGGAGCAAACAGG